rnacentral:lncRNA from 12 species
AUGACACAGGUUAUUCCACGUUCCCGAGCAUGGAGCAGAGAAGCGGGGGGCUGCCCGCGAGCAGCCCUGGGCCCUUCCAUGAUGCAGGGUGAAGGGCACGCAGUCUCGGGCCGCGAGGCUGUCUCGCCAGGAUGCGGAUCCCAAGUGAGAAGACCCUUGCCUGCUCGGCAGAUAGAGCCACCCCUCGUCCGGCCAACGCGGGGAGCCCUCCAGGCCCGGGCAGCGCAGUGGCACCAGAGCAGGGUUCCCGACGGCGCUGCCAAGCCCACAGCAAAACCGGGGAUAAGCACAAGAACCCGCUCUGGGAAGCAGGCUGUGGUCCCCCCCGAGGGCACCGUGUUCGUGGCGAGUUGAGAGCAGAGCAGUGGGGAAGCCGAGGAUGCCGGGCUCCUGGGAUCGGGCUGCGGCUCGGGCAGGUGGGCUGAGGGCUCAGUGUGGCCCCCGGUAGAGGUGGCCAGUCCCCCACAGGACACGCCAAGGGGACGCGUGGUCCCAGGCUUCGCUGCCAAUGCUCGCGCGGAGUCUCCCGGGGAAGGCCUCUCCUCCCAAGCCUCCUCCGCAGGCGGGAGGCUGAGGGCAGCCUCUGUGUCUGCACAGAAACCAAACAUCUCUUCCCUAUGAGGCCAGACAGAUAAUCGGGGGCAAAACCAAACCGCAUUCGGGGGCAUUGGUCCUGCCCUGUAUCUUCUCGACCAAAUUGUGCAGUGACUCCAAGGCUUUGAACGGAUGGUUUCCAUCUAAGCGGCAAGAGCACUUGGUGACAUCCAGUGCCUUCCAGACGCCAUCCACACAAAAGGCGAAGCCACUGCCAAGUCCAGACAUGGACACUUCAUAGGAGCUGAUCCCUGGGCUGCCGGCUUCGGAAGGGGUCGGGCGAGCCCAGGACGGCCGCGCAGAGCACGUCCCCACGGACAUGCCUGGCAGCUCCCAAAGCCCAGUGGUUACACUAGUGCAUGUGCACAGGCGCUGAGCAUGGGCCGGAGACAGAUGCAUGGCUCUCGGGACAACCUUGCUCCUCUGCUAAGGAACACCUACACCUCUGGUUCUCAUUUGCAAAAAAAUAAUAAAUAAAUAAUUUUAAAAAGCUCA